rfam:Nitrospirae bacterium GWD2_57_9 gwd2_scaffold_1588, whole genome shotgun sequence.
ACACGACAAUACUAAACCAUCCGUGAGGAUGGGACGGAAAGCCUACAGGGUCUUACAGAGACAGCCGGGUCGCCGAA